rnacentral:rRNA from 1 species
AACGAACGCUGGCGGCAUGCCUAACACAUGCAAGUCGAACGCUUCCGGGGGUUUCGGCCUCCGGGGGAGGUGGCGCACGGGUGAGUAGCGCGUGGGAACCUGCCCUGUUGUGGGGGAUAACCGAGGGAAACUUCGGCUAAUACCGCAUACGCCCGAGGAGUGAUCUUCGGGGAAAGAUUUAUCGCAGCAGGAGGGGCCCGCGUCGGAUUAGCUGGUUGGUGGGGUAACGGCCCACCAAGGCGAUGAUCCGUAGCGGUCUGAGAGGAUGAUCAGCCACACUGGGACUGAGACACGGCCCAGACUCCUACGGGAGGCAGCAGUGGGGAAUAUUGGACAAUGGGGGCGAACCCUGAUCCAGCAAUGCCGCGUGAGUGAUGAAGGCCUUAGGUUGUAAAGCUCUUUCGCCCGCGACGAUGAUGACGGUAG